rnacentral:ncRNA from 1 species
CACUAUGAGCAAGCUGUGCGAAAAACCGCUUCUUUUUUCCGGUUCUGGCAUCACCUAUGGUUGAUUAAGAAAAAAAACUGGAAACAAGAGACCUGGUUUUUUUCCAGUUUCUGAUUCCAGAAUGUCUGCAUCUAUUGUUCUUGUUAUAGAUGAAUGUUUAGAUGCAUCGGCUAACUCUGUGCCAGCAGCCGCGGUAAUACAGAGGAUGCGAGCGUUAUCCGGAAUGAUUGGGCGUAAAGCGUCUGUAGGUGGCUUUUUAAGUCCGCCGUCAAAUCCCAUGGCUCAACCCUGGACAGGCGAUGGAAACUACCAAGCUCAAAUCCUGGAUUUUCGAAUUGAGAGAGAUAUUGAGAGAGAUCAAGAAUUCUCACC